rnacentral:misc_RNA from 1 species
CGCCGGGGCACCCCCCCACAAGUUCUUUCUUCUGUCAGAAGCCAACCAAUUGUCCUUGCUCCACACCGGCAAUGUAAGGGGACACCGGUGACUCUGGAUGAUUGCCAUGUCCACCAAAUGAUGGCAAGAGGUAGAACACUGAAGGAGGAGCGAGAAGCAUUGUCGGAUCUUUAGGUUCAGAUUUCCGGAGAUCCCGACUUUGGAUCUCUAGGCCAUUUGCUAUCUGACCAGAAUUUGUGGCUCGAGUUUUAGUGGUAAAUCUGCUCUCAUGCUCUCAUUGGAUUUAAGAGAUUGGAGUUGUAGCUUUACUCCUCUAGUAACAGUUAGACCUUAGUGGCUGAGAUAAGUAAUCGACUCCCUCUCAUAUUGUAUUGGAAUGUUUAUAUUCUCACAUGGUAUAUUCGUACAUGGGUGCAUAAGUAGCUUUAAAUUAUUUUCUUGUAUGAUUAUUUUAUGAAUUAUUUGAGGGUGAACGGCUGAUUAGUAAUUAUAAAAAUUAUAAUUAUAUUUAAUAUGGAACUUGCUAAGUGGAAUGGUCAUUCUUAUUCAUUAUUUUUCUCAGCAACAAGAGAAACUUUUCAAAGUUUAACCUGCAUUUCCUCAUAAAGUAUUAUUCUGACUGAUUGUAUUUUAUUUUAAUUUUUUACAUUGUUAAAAGUCUAUUGUGACUCUGACACUAAGUGCCUAUUUGUACUAUAUUUUUAAUUAAUAAAAUAUAUUCUCUCAAAAAAGUGUGUAUUGAUUGAGCAUGUUCAUAUAGUUAUAGAUGGAUUGAGUUGAGCCUUCUUAUUUGUAGUGUGAUUCUACGUAGUUGAGUUAGAUUCUUAAAGUUAUAUAAUUUUAUAUUCUAUAUGUUUUGAGUCUGGCUAUUUAUUUUGAGAAUAGUAAGAUUUAGUAUGAAUUUUAAUGAACUUGAUCAUUACUCAAAUUCUAAUGCUGACCCAGCCAUGGGAUCUGAUUCCAAUUCCGUGCCUAUUAAAUUACUUUUGUAUUCUGAUCGCCCUCGAGACCUUUGUUAAUGGACGUCUUUCUCAGUUUUAAGAAAAAAGGGGAAAAAAAAAACCACACUAAUGUUGGGCAUGAGUAGAAAAGGCUGUGUCCUUGGUUCCCUUUUUCCAUGCUUAUGAAUUUGGAAGCUUUUUUAAUUUGUUUUAACAUCUUUUUAAAUUUUAUUAUCAAAACCUUUUUCUUAUCAAGUUAUUAUAGAAAUGUUUCAUAAUAACAAACGCAGUUUACAUUUAUUUAUUUUUAUAAUUGUCUAUUGGUAGGGUCUACUUCUGUUCCUAACUUAAGAUGGGUAUAUGACUGAGAAAUGACAAAUUAACAAAUCCUGGCAACAUUAGGUCCCUCUAUCAUAACUGCACUGUGCACUCAGGAUGUUGAGCUAUUAAGAUUCAAAUAUAUCCCACCUAUCUUUGGGUACCAAAAUAAAACAGAUUUGACUAAGUCACUUAAUCUAUUAACAAACCGUAAAUUGAAGUAAGAAAAGAACAAAACUGAGAAAGUAGAGUACAUUGGAUACUUCAUUAAACAUACACAUUCAAUCCCAACCACAUUUUGCUUAGAAAAAAACAACAAAUAUAAAAAAUAGUUCUUUAAAACUAACAAAAAGAAGCUACCCCACCAAGCAAGUACAUUCUUGGACGUUUAUAGAGAAACCCCACAGCUGAAAACUCAAACAUCUGCCCAAAAAAAGAAAACAAAACAAAGAAAAAAAAGAUGUUUAUAGACAAGAAGUAUUAGAUAAACGAAGAGAAAUUUAUUUAUACAAAAUAAGAAAGAAAAAAAUUUACCAUUAUGUGUUCUUGAAUUGAAGAUGGGGAAUUCAUGUGAAGAGGAGGGAAUAGAGAUUGAGAGUCUGGUUGUUGAUACUGAUGUGCUAUUUGGUGACUUAUCAUCCAAGUUUAGCCAUGAAUCUUUGUUUUUUGGCGGCCAUUCGUCAAAGAAACGAUGAAAAAUCUUCUGGGGCUCUUCUUCUCUCUCAAUUUUCGUAGGUAAGAGACCUUUCAUAUCAGUUCCCAGAAGAUAACUUUGUUGAUACUGCUUUUGUUGUUUUGGGGCAUCAUGAUCAUGAUCACGAUCACUUAAGCUAUGAAGCUGCAAGUAAGAGUAUUCGUUAUGUAAACUAGACGAACUCCUCUGGUUUGAAGAAGAUGUAGUAGACGAUGAGCUCAUUGUGAGUGGAGUGAAUUGCCAAGCAUUAUCCAAUGAUGAACCAGAUAAGUUUCUCAUAGAACCAGAGUGUUCUGAGAAGAAAGCAUGCUCAUCAACCUCCUCUUUCAGCCCAUAAGCACUCCUGUUACUUAUUUUCAACAGAAAAGGAGAAAAAAAAAAUCAAACCAAUGUUCAAGAAAGCAAUCACAAGGAAAAUAAAAAACAAGGAAAUACAAAUGCUACUGUCUUUUUUUCAAAUGAACCUGUAGUCUGUGUAAUUGUUACUCAGGGAACAAGAACCGCCAGAGUCCAAAAGCAAUGGAGUAGAGUUGUCUUGGGGUGAAAGACCAAUUCCAGGAGGUCUUGAAGAAGUAUGUGAAGACAAAAACUGAUGAUUGAGAUAGGAAUUGUACCCAGAAUAAUGAAGGUGAUUUUGGUGGGUCUCAGAUGACAAUAAAGAGAUAGAGUGGGAAGGUGGGGUUAAUAAAGUAGAGUGGUUCUUGGCGAUUGAUGAGACGGUUGGUGUUAUUGAAGGGUUCGCUGUCGCUGUUUGUGUUGCAACUUCCACAGGCUUUCUUGAACGGUUUUUUCCUCUGUGCAUGUGUCUCUCACAGUACUUGGAAUCUGGAUAUGCUUCUUUUGAGCACCUCCAUUUUUUUCCAUCUGUUCUCCUGCACCUCCCUGGCUCUGGGUCUAUUUUCCUCCCUAGACCCAUUUGGAAGCAGCUCCACCCAACUGCAAAUACAAAGCAAAUCAAUAUAUAUAUAUACACAAGAAUCCACUUUAAAAAAAAGGAAUAUAUCAAGAAAUUUGUAGAGAUACAAAAAGAGGGUUCUGCUGGGCUUACCAUGUGAAUGUUGGCGGGGAAAAAGCUUUGAAGAGAGUGGGGAGUCCAAGCAGCUUCGCUUUAUGGUGAAGAGAAGAUCAGUUGGAAUGGGAAUGCCUGAGACCAUAUACUUGAAGAUUAGUGCUUGAUGCUCAAGCUCUUGCCACUGAGAUGCAGUGAAUGGAAAUUUGUUUGC